rnacentral:tRNA from 1 species
GCGGACGUGGCGGAAUUGGCAUACGCGAUAGCCUUAGGAGCUAUUGGGGGAAACCCUUGGGGGUUCAAAUCCCUCCGUCCGCA